rnacentral:rRNA from 1 species
CCCUUAGAUGUCCGGGGCCGCACGCGCGCUACACUGAAGGAAUCAGCGUGGCUUUCUCCCUGACCCGAAAGGGUUGGGAAACCCGUUGAAUCUCCUUCGUGAUAGGGAUUGGGGCUUGAAAUUGUUCCCCAUGAACGAGGAAUUCCCAGUAAGCGCGAGUCAUAAGCUCGCGUUGAUUACGUCCCUGCCCUUUGUACACACCGCCCGUCGCUACUACCGAUUGAACGGUUUAGUGAGGGCCUCGGAUUGGUCUCGGCCCGCUCUUCACCGGGCGGCGCCGUUGGUCGAGAAGACGCUCGAACUUGAUCGUGUAGAGGAAGUAAAAGUCGUAACA